rnacentral:rRNA from 1 species
GAUGAACGCUGGCGGCGUGCCUAAUACAUGCAAGUCGAGCGAACAGACGAGGAGCUUGCUCCUCUGACGUUAGCGGCGGACGGGUGAGUAACACGUGGAUAACCUACCUAUAAGACUGUGAUAACUUCGGGAAACCGGCGCUAAUACCGGAUAAUAUAUUGAACCUCAUGGUUCAAUAGUGAAAGACGGUUUUGCUGUCACUUAUAGAUUGAUCCGCGCCGCAUUCGCUAGUUGGUCAGGUAACGGCUUACCAAGGCGACGAUGCGUAGCCGACCUGAGAGGGAGAACGGCUACACGGGAACUGAGAAACGGUCCAGACUCCUACGGGAGGAAGCAGUAGGGAAUCUUACGCAAUGGGCGAAAGCCUGACGGAGCAACGUCGCGGGAGUGAUGAAGGACUUCGGAUCGUAAAACGCUGUUAUUAGGGAAGAACAAAUGUGUAAGUAACUAUGCACGUAUUGACGGUACCUAAUCAGAAAGCCACGGCUAACUACGUG